GCUUGCUUCAGCAAACAUAAACUAAAAUUGGAACAAAACAGAGAAGAUUAGCAUGGCCCCUGUUCAAGGAUGACAUGCAAAUUCGUGAAGCAUUUUAUAUUUUU
ensembl:snRNA U6 U6 spliceosomal RNA